CAGAAGUACCAUCCACAUAUAUCCACCCAUUCCAUCUCCAGAACCACCUAAAAAUAUUCUACUCCUAAUCCGGGAGAGAAUAACCAAAAAUAUUUUCUGUUUUCCCCUUGUGAAAUAAAUGCUCAAGUUAUCUUGUUACUACCACUUGCUAUAUUAUCUCAAGAGAUGAAUGCUCUAAAAAAAGAGAGAAAAUAAUACGAGGAAAUAAAAAGGAGCAAGUGCUCGGAACCUCGAAAGAAAAGAAAAAGUGAGACGAGAGGUAAGAAUGGACAAGUGUCCGACAGUAGAAUUAGGGGUGCAAGAUACCCACC
rnacentral:lncRNA from 1 species